AUUGAACGCUGGCGGCAGGCCUAACCCAUGCAAGUCGAACGAGUGGCGGACGGGUGAGUAAUGUCUGGGAAACUGCCUGAUGGAGGGGGAUAACUACUGGAAACGGUAGCUAAUACCGCAUACCAUCAGAUGUGCCCAGAUGGGAUUAGCUUGUUGGUGGGGUAACGGCUCACCAAGCCGCCGACCCGGAGCUGGUCUGAGCGGAUGACCAGCCACACUGGAACUGAAGCACGGUCCGAACGCCUACGGGAGGCAGCAGUGGGAAAUAUUGGACAAUGGGAGCAAGCCUGAUGCAGCCGUGCCGAGUGUAUGAAGGAGGCCUUCGGGUUGUAAAGUACUUUCAGCGGGGAGGCGUUACCCACAGAAGAAGCACCGGCUGACUCCGUGCCAGCAGCCGAGGUAAUUC
rnacentral:rRNA from 1 species